rnacentral:rRNA from 1 species
AGUAACGCGUGAGUAACCUGCCCUCUGGUGGGGUAUAGCCACGAGAAAUCGUGAUUAAUCCCGCAUAAGAUCUCUUUACCUUGGUAUUGAGAUGAAAGCCUUCGGGCGCCGGAGGAGGGGCUCGCGUCCUAUCAGGUUGUUGGUGAGGUAAUGGCUCACCAAGCCUAUGACGGGUAGCUGGUCUGAGAGGACGACCAGCCAGAGGGGGACUGAGACACGGCCCCCACUCCUACGGGAGGCAGCAGCAGGGAAUCUUGGGCAAUGGGCGAAAGCCUGACCCAGCGACGUCGCGUGGAGGAAGAAGGCUUUUGGGCUGUAAACUCCUUUUUCCAAGGGAAGAGAAAGGACGGUACCUUGGGAAUAAGCUCCGGCUAACUACGUGCCAGCAGCCGCGGUAAUACGUAGGGAGCGAGCGUUACCCGGAAUUACUGGGCGUAAAGUGCGCGUAGGCGGCUUGGUAAGUCUCUUGUGAAAGCUCCUGGCUUAACUGGGAGAGGUCAAGGGAAACUAUCUAGCUAGAGGGCAGCAGAGGAAAGCGGAAUUCUCGGUGUAGCGGUGAAAUGCGUAGAUAUCGAGAGGAACACCAGUGGCGAAGGCGGCUUUCUGGGCUGUACCUGACGCUGAGGCGCGAGAGCGUGGGGAGCAAACAGGAUUAGAUACCCUGGUAGUCCACGCCCUAAACGAUGAAUGCUAGGUAUAGGGGGUAUCGACCCCUCCUGUGCCGCAGCUAACGCGAUAAGCAUUCCGCCUGGGGACUACGGCCGC